GAUGAACGCUGGCGGCGUGCCUAAUACAUGCAAGUCGAGCGAACGGACGAGAAGCUUGCUUCUCUGAUGUUAGCGGCGGACGGGUGAGUAACACGUGGAUAACCUACCUAUAAGACUGGGAUAACUUCGGGAAACCGUAGCUAAUACCGGAUAAUAUUUUGAACCGCAUGGUUCAAAAGUGAAAGACGGUCUUGCUGUCACUUAUAGAUGGAUCCGCGCUGCAUUAGCUAGUUGGUAAGGUAACGGCUUACCAAGGCAACGAUGCAUAGCCGACCUGAGAGGGUGAUCGGCCACACUGGAACUGAGACACGGUCCAGACUCCUACGGGAGGCAGCAGUAGGGAAUCUUCCGCAAUGGGCGAAAGCCUGACGGAGCAACGCCGCGUGAGUGAUGAAGGUCUUCGGAUCGUAAAACUCUGUUAUUAGGGAAGAACAUAUGUGUAAGUAACUGUGCACAUCUUGACGGUACCUAAUCAGAAAGCCACGGCUAACUACGUGCCAGCAGCCGCGGUAAUACGUAGGUGGCAAGCGUUAUCCGGAAUUAUUGGGCGUAAAGCGCGCGUAGGCGGUUUUUUAAGUCUGAUGUGAAAGCCCACGGCUCAACCGUGGAGGGUCAUUGGAAACUGGAAAACUUGAGUGCAGAAGAGGAAAGUGGAGUUCCAUGUGUAGCGGUGAAAUGCGCAGAGAUAUGGAGGAACACCAGUGGCGAAGGCGACUUUCUGGUCUGUAACUGACGCUGAUGUGCGAAAGCGUGGGGAUCAAACAGGAUUAGAUACCCUGGUAGUCCACGCCGUAAACGAUGAGUGCUAAGUGUUAGGGGGUUUCCGCCCCUUAGUGCUGCAGCUAACGCAUUAAGCACUCCGCCUGGGGAGUACGACCGCAAGGUUGAAACUCAAAGGAAUUGACGGGGACCCGCACAAGCGGUGGAGCAUGUGGUUUAAUUCGAAGCAACGCGAAGAACCUUACCAAAUCUUGACAUCCUUUGACAACUCUAGAGAUAGAGCCUUCCCCUUCGGGGGACAAAGUGACAGGUGGUGCAUGGUUGUCGUCAGCUCGUGUCGUGAGAUGUUGGGUUAAGUCCCGCAACGAGCGCAACCCUUAAGCUUAGUUGCCAUCAUUAAGUUGGGCACUCUAAGUUGACUGCCGGUGACAAACCGGAGGAAGGUGGGGAUGACGUCAAAUCAUCAUGCCCCUUAUGAUUUGGGCUACACACGUGCUACAAUGGACAAUACAAAGGGCAGCGAAACCGCGAGGUCAAGCAAAUCCCAUAAAGUUGUUCUCAGUUCGGAUUGUAGUCUGCAACUCGACUACAUGAAGCUGGAAUCGCUAGUAAUCGUAGAUCAGCAUGCUACGGUGAAUACGUUCCCGGGUCU
rnacentral:rRNA from 1 species